rfam:Solanum lycopersicum cultivar Heinz 1706 chromosome 3, whole genome shotgun sequence.
UUUGCAAGUGAUGAUAAAACAGACAGGGACAUCAGAACUCUCUUAUAGGGUAAAAGAUGACUAGUCUAAUGGGAAUCUCUCUGAUGCAAU